rnacentral:rRNA from 1 species
GUGAGGAAUAUUGGGCAAUGGGCGAAAGCCUGACCCAGCCACGCCGCGUGAGUGAUGAAGGCCUUCGGGUUGUAAAGCUCUGUGGGGAGGGAAGAAAAAGCGGGAGAGUAACUGCUCUCGUGUUGACGGUACCUCCUUAGCAAGCACCGGCUAACUCUGUGCCAGCAGCCGCGGUAAUACAGAGGGUGCAAACGUUGCUCGGAAUUACUGGGCGUAAAGCGCGUGUAGGCUGACAUGCAAGUCGGGUGUGAAAUCCCAGGGCUCAACCUUGGAACUGCACUCGAAACUGCACGUAUUGAGUACUGGAGAGGGAAGCGGAAUUCCGGGUGUAGAGGUGAAAUUCGUAGAUAUCCGGAGGAACACCAGUGGCGAAGGCGGCUUCCUGGACAGUAACUGACGCUGAGACGCGAAAGCGUGGGGAGCAAACAGGAUUAGAAACCCUAGUAGUCC